rnacentral:rRNA from 1 species
GGUCAAGCUACGAAGGGUUCAUGGAGGAUGCUUUGGCGUCGAGAGCCGAAGAAAGACGUGGCAUGGCUGCGAAAAGCGCCGGUGAGCCGCCUAGCAGGCAAUGACCCGGCGAUGUCUUAGAUCCGGAAACGGGCCGAGAGUGAGUGUCUCGGCACCUCGUCGUGAAGCCCCGGGAGGGGAAGGUAGCGACGAGGGGGGAACGAGGGGAACUGAAACAUCUAAGUACCCUCAGGAAAGGAAAGAAAACUCGACUCCCUGAGUAGCGGCGAGCGAAACGGGAUCAGCCCAAACCGAGUACGUGCCAAGCUUGUGGGCGUUGCGUACGCGGGGUCGCGGGACUUUCGGGUGGGUCCACAGAACCACCACGGAGUGAACAAACGGAGCCUUAGAAGAACGGUCUGGAAAGGCCGGCCGCAGAAGGUGAUAGCCCUGUAGUCGAAAGGGCUCCGUCUCCGGGAAGUAUCCCAAGUAGCGCCGGACACGUGGAACCUGGCGUGAAUCCGGGGGACCACCCCCAAGGCUAAGAAUCUCCUCGACGACCGAUAGUGCAAUAGUAGCGCGAGCGAAAAAGUGAAAAGUACCCCUGUUAGGGAGUGAAAAAGUACCUGAAACCAUGAACCUACAAGCGGUCGAAGGCCGAUGCCCGCAAAGGGAGCGGCUGACGGCGUGCCUUUGCAUAAUGAUCCGGCGAGUUGCUUCUGCGUAGCAAGGUUAAGGGUUUAAGGCCCGGAGCCGAAGCGAAAGCGAGUGUGAAUAGCGCGAUUUAAGUUACGCGGAGCAGACCCGAAUACAGGUGAUCUAGCCAUGGGCAGGUUGAAACGGCUGUAACAGGCCGUGGAGGACCGAACGGAUGUAUGUUGAAAAAUGCUCCGAUGACCUGUGGCUAGGGGUAAAAGGUCAAUCAAACCUGUGGAUAGCUGGUUCUCCCCGAAAUAGCUUUCGGGCUAGCCUCGUGUAAUGUUCGAUGGGGGUAGAGCUACUGAAUGGGUUUGGGGCUCCACCAGAGUACCCUGCCUAAUCAAACUCCGAAUACCAUCGGAUUUAUCACGGGAGUCAGUCCGUGGGGGAUAAGCUCCAUGGACAAGAGGGAAACAGCCCAGACCGUCGGCUAAGGUCCCGGAAUCUAGCUAAGUGUAGUGAAGGAUGUAGGAUGUCCCAGACAGCCAGGAUGUUGGCUUAGAAGCAGCCACCAUUUAAAAAGUGCGUAAUAGCUUACUGGUCGAGAUAUCCUGCGCCGAAAAUGAACGGGGCUAAGCUAGAUACCGAAGCCACGGGCUUCGCAAAGCGGUAGAGUUUAGCGGAGCGGUAGGGGAGCGUUGGACGGUAGGACGAAGGGUGACGGAAACGACACCUGGACGAUGUCCAAGUGAUGAUGCCGGAAUAAGUAGCGAUAAGGUAAGCGAGAAUCUUACCCGCCGAAAACCCAAGGAUUCCUGGGCAAGGCAAAUCCGCCCAGGGUUAGUCGGACCCUAAGACGAGGCUGAAAAGCGUAGUCGAUGGACAUCGGGUUAAUAAUCCCGAACUACCCAUGCUUUCGAUGGGGGGACGGGGGCUGGACGAAAAGGUGCGCGGGCGACUAGAAGAGCCCGUUGCUGCGCUGGGGAGUGACCGUAGGCAAAUCCGCGGUCGUGGCUCCUGGGCGUGGCGUAGGCCGACAAACUGGCUGAUGCAUCUGAAGGCCCUCCAAGAAAAACCUCUAAGGCUAGGGCAUGGGUAUCCGUACCAAAACUGACACAGGUGGGUGAGGUGAAGAUCCUCAGGCGCUCGAGAGAACCCUUGCAAAGGAACUCGGCAAUUUAGCUCCGUAACUUCGGGAUAAGGAGCGCCCUUGACGGUGAGUCGAACAGACAAAGCCGCUGGGGGCCGCAGUGAAAGGGGCCAGGCGACUGUUUACUAAAAACACAGGUCUCUGCAAACUCGCAAGAGGACGUAUAGAGACUGACACGUGCCCGAUGCUGGAAGGUUAAGGGGACGGGUUAGCCGCAAGGCGAAGCUCGGAACUGAAGCCCCAGUGAAUGGCGGCCGUAACUAUGACGGUCCUAAGGUAGCGAAAUUCCUUGUCGGGUAAGUUCCGACCCGCACGAAUCGUGUAACGACUUGGUCAGUGUCUCUGCAAGGGGCUCGGCGAAAUUGUAGUUGUGGUGAAGAUGCCACAUUCCCGCACUAAGACGGAAAGACCCCGUGAACCUUCACUGUAGCCUAUUAUUGGGUCUUGAUGCAGCAUGUGUAGCAUAGGUGGGAGACGUUGAAGCGGGGACGCAAGUCCUCGUGGAGUCAUCAGUGAAAUACCACUCUUGUUGCAUUAGGAUUCUAACCUCGACCCGUGAAUCCGGGCGUGGGACAGUGAUAGGUGGGCAGUUUGGCUGGGGCGGUCUCCUCCUAAAAGGUAACGGAGGAGCCCGAAGGCACCCUCAGCGCGGUUGGCAAUCGCGCGAAGAGCGUAAAGGUACAAGGGUGCUUGACUGUGAGAGAAACAACUCGAUCAGGUGUGAAAGCAGGGCUUAGUGAUCCGGCGGUCCCGUGUGGAAGGGCCGUCGCUCAUCGGAUAAAAGGUACUCCGGGGAUAACAGGCUGAUCUCGUCCGAGCGUACAUAGCGACGACGAGGUUUGGCACCUCGAUGUCGGCUCAUCGCAUCCUGGGGCUGGACAAGGUCCCAAGGGUUUGGCUGUUCGCCAAUUAAAGCGGUACGUGAGCUGGGUUUAGACCGUCGUGAGACAGGUCGGUCCCUAUCUAGUGUGGGUGUAGGACAUUUGCGGAGCCUUUCCCCUAGUACGAGAGGAUUGGGGAGGACGAACCUCUGGUGCUCCAGUUGUCGCGCUAGCGGCAUAGCUGGGUAGCUACGUUCGGAACGGAUAAGCGCUGAAGGCAUCUAAGCGCGAAGCCUUCUCCAAAACUAGAUGUCCCCAUCAGCCCCGUGGAAGACUACCACGUUGAUAGGCCGGCGGUGUACGAGCAGCAAUGCUCUUAGCCUACCGGUACUAAUCGGGCGAUUGGCUUGACCUU